GACGAACGCUGGCGGCGUGCUUAACACAUGCAAGUCGAACGGUGAAGGGACUGGUUUUGCUGGUCCUGGAUGAGUGGCGACCGGGUGAGUAACACGUGAGUAACCUGCCCCCUUCUUCUGGAUAACCGCAUGAAAGUGUGGCUAAUACGGGAUAUUCUGGGUCUGUCGCAUGGUGGGCCUGGGAAAGAUUGCGCCUUUUUUGGUGUUUUUGGUGUGGGAUGGGCUCGCGGCCUAUCAGCUUGUUGGUGGGGUGAUGGCCUACCAAGGCGGUGACGGGUAGCCGGGCUGGGAGGGUUGACGGGCACAAUGGGACUGAGACACGGGCCAGACUCCUACGGGAGGCUGCAGUUGGGAAUAUUGCACAAUUGGCGGAAGCCUGAUGCAGCGACGCCGCGUGAGGGAUGGAGGCCUUCGGGUUGUGAACCUCUUUCGCCAGUGAAGCAGGCCUGCCUCUUUUUGUGGGUGGGUUGACGGUAGCUGGAUAAGAAGCGCCGGCUAACUACGUG
rnacentral:rRNA from 1 species